AUCUAUGGCAUACCACCUUGAGUGUACCCAAUCUCAUCUGACCUCAGAGGCUAAGCAGGGUCAAAUCUGGUUAGUACUUGUACAAUAGAAGGAGCCCUUCCCGGAGUCUGAAAAGCUGUUGAAG
rnacentral:rRNA from 1 species